GACGAACGCUGGCGGCGUGCUUAACACAUGCAAGUCGAGCGGUAAGGCCCUUUCGGGGUACGACGAGCGGCGAACGGGUGAGUAACACGUGGGUGACCUGCCCUCAGCUCUGGGAUAAGCCUGGGAAACGUGGGUCUAAUAACCGGAUAUGACUCCAUGACGCAUGUUGUGGGGUGGAAAGCCUUGUGCGGCUGAGGAUGGGCCCGCGGCCUAUCAGCUUGUUGGUGGGGUGANGGCCUACCAAGGCGACGACGGGUAGCCGGCCUGAGAGGGCGACCAGCCACACUGGGACUGAGACACGGCCCAGACUCCUACGGGA
rnacentral:rRNA from 1 species